UGGGGAAUAUUGGACAAUGGGCGAAAGCCUGAUCCAGCCAUGCCGCGUGUGUGAAGAAGGUCUUCGGAUUGUAAAGCACUUUAAGUUGGGAGGAAGGGCAGUAAGCGAAUACCUUGCUGUUUUGAUGUUACCGACAGAAUAAGCACCGGCUAACUCUGUGCCAGCAGCCGCGGUAAUACAGAGGGUGCAAGCGUUAAUCGGAAUUACUGGGCGUAAAGCGCGCGUAGGUGGUUCGUUAAGUCGAAUGUGAAAGCCCCGGGCUCAACCUCGGGACUGCGUCCUAGACUGGCGUGCGAGAGUAAGGCAGAGGGUGGUGGAAUUUCCUGUGUAGCGGUGAAAUGCGUAGAUAUAGGAAGGAACACCAGUGGCGAAGGCUACCACCUGCGCUCAUACUGACACUAAGGUGCGAUAGCGUAGGGAGCAAACAGG
rnacentral:rRNA from 1 species